CUAUCGGUUCCACGUUGCUUAGGUCCUGAGUUUCUAACAAAGCUGAACUUUUCUCUUCUGAUAAGGCCAAGCCAAGACAGAGGAGUGAGAUGAUCUCUUCCAUCCGGAGACUGCUGAAGCACUGACCAAACCUUAUCCUCAAAUAUUCCCAACUCACGGUGAAGUCUGUCUCCAACAAUCAAGUCAUGAAUCAGCUCAUAUGAAGAUGCAUUUGGGAGUAAGACAUACGGAACAAGACCAAAAAUGCCUAUCAGGAUGGCACCGUUUAGCCUAGAUGAGGAAACUAAGUCAUAAAAAGGAUAUGUUGAUUGUCGGUGAUGGAGAGAUGGAUAAAGCAAGCUGCCACCCAGCGUCCCUCUCUCUUGUGCUGCCACACCCUCUGUGAAUAUGGGACAGCUCUACAGUGGCACCUGUCACCUCCGCUUCUCACUGAUUCCACGCUGGUGUCCCCCCUCGUCUGUGAGCUCCUUCAGAGACAAGGACCAUGAUGGAUCUGUCUUUGAGACCAUCCCAAGCCAGAACCAUUCACGAUACCAGGAAUGAUGUAGUAGGUGCUAAAUAAAUUUUGAGGAACAAGUGAGCAGAUAAUUGUAGAACCAAAUUACAGUACAGUGGGACUUUAUUGGAAUUUGCUCUGUACUAACAUUAGCCUUAAACAAAAUGUCAAGAGAAUAAAGCUUAACCACUUAACCACUAAGAUGAAUCACUAGUAUUAUGCUAAUUCUAGACAAUACAAUUUAACACUACAAAUUGUUCUGUUCCAGGUUGUUUAUAUUAGUCUCAU